GGCCCAACAGCUAGCCCCACAUCUAAAAGCAACCAACCAUCAUUUAUACCCCCAAACACACUAGUGUCUCUCAAACAAACCAUUUUUCCCCCUAAGUACGGGCGACAGAAAAGGAACUACGGGCGCAAUAGAAAAAGUACCGCAAGGGAAAGCUGAAAGAGAAAUGAAAUAACCCAGUAAAGCUACAAAAAGCAGAGAUUUUUCCUCGUACCUUUUGCAUCAUGAUUUAGCCAGAAACAUUCAGGCAAAGGGAACUUUAGUCUGGCACCCCGAAACUGAGUGAGCUACUCCAAGACAGCCUAUUAAUAGGGCGCACCCGUCUCUGUGGCAAAAGAGUGGGAAGAGCUUUGAGUAGAGGUGACAGACCUACCGAACUCAGUUAUAGCUGGUUGUCUGGGAACUGGAUAGAAGUUCAGCCUCCCGGCUUCUUCCCUCGACUUCGUCUUAACCCCUUACAGACCCCGAAGAAACCAUGAGAGUUAGCCAAAGGGGGUACAGCCCCUUUGAAACAAGAUACAACUUUACCAGGAGGGUAAAGAUCACAAUAAGAAAAAGUAAUAUGUUCUGGUGGGCCUAAAAGCAGCCAUCCCUGUAGAAAGCGUUAAAGCUCAGACAUUUUACCAACUACCUAUUCUGAUAAUUUUUUCUCACCCCCCUAACCUUACCAGACCGACCCAUGCAAGCAUGGGUGUGACUAUGCUAAAAUGAGUAAUAAGAGGGCCUCGGCUCUCUCCCCGCACGCCCGUAACUCGGAACGGACCAACCACCGAACCUUAACGGACCCAAAAAAAGAGGGUAAUGAAUUACAGACUAAACAACUGGAAAAACAUUCAAUCUUAACCGUUAACCCCACACCGGCGUGCCCGCUGGGAAAGACUAAAAGAAAGAGAAGGAACUCGGCAAACACAUAAAGCCUCGCCUGUUUACCAAAAACAUCGCCUCUUGCUGAAAACCAAGAAUAAGAGGUCCCGCCUGCCCUGUGACUAUAAGUUUAACGGCCGCGGUAUUUUGACCGUGCAAAGGUAGCGCAAUCACUUGUCUUUUAAAUGAAGACCUGUAUGAAUGGCAUAACGAGGGCUUAGCUGUCUCCUUUUUCAAGUCAAUGAAAUUGAUCUCCCCGUGCAGAAGCGGGGAUGACAUCAUAAGACGAGAAGACCCUAUGGAGCUUUAGACACCGGAAUAAAUCAUGUUAAGCAACCCCUAACAUGGGGCGAAACAAAUGAAAAUUAUUCCAUGUCUUUGGUUGGGGCGACCGCGGGGAAAUAAAAAACCCCCACGUGGAUUGGGGCUACACUGCCCCACAACUGAGAGCUCCUGCUCUAGCUAACAGAACAUCUGACCAAUUAAGAUCCGGCAACGCCGAUCAACGGACCGAGUUACCCUAGGGAUAACAGCGCAAUCCCCUUUUAGAGCCCAUAUCGACAAGGGGGUUUACGACCUCGAUGUUGGAUCAGGACAUCCUAAUGGUGCAGCCGCUAUUAAGGGUUCGUUUGUUCAACGAUUAAAGUCCUACGUGAUCUGAGUUCAGACCGGAGUAAUCCAGGUCAGUUUCUAUCUAUGCUAUGAUUUUUUCUAGUACGAAAGGACCGAAAAAAAGAGGCCUAUACUACCAGUAUGCCUCACCCCCACCUAAUGAAGACAACUAAAGCAGGCAAAAGGGCAUGCCCCCUUGCCGGAGAUUACGGCAU
rnacentral:rRNA from 1 species